rnacentral:tRNA from 1 species
CUGAUGCUCUACCUUGGUAGAGCAUCAGACUUUUAAUCUGAGGGUCCAGGGUUCAAGUCCCUGGUCAGG